UACAGAGGGUGCAAGCGUUAAUCGGAAUUACUGGGCGUAAAGCGCACGUAGGCGGUUUUUUAAGUCAGAUGUGAAAGCCCCGGGCUCAACCUGGGAAUUGCAUUUGAAACUGGGGAACUAGAGUGUGUGAGAGGGGGGUAGAAUUCCAAGUGUAGCGGUGAAAUGCUUAGAGAUUUGGAGGAAUACCAGUGGCGAAGGCGGCCCCCUGGCACAACACUGACGCUCAGGUGCGAAAGCGUGGGGAGCAAACAGG
rnacentral:rRNA from 1 species